UGAGUAUUCUAAGGCGCUUGAGAGAACUCAGGAGAAGGAACUCGGCAAAUUGACACCGUAACUUCGGAAGAAGGUGUGCCUUUAGUAGGUGAAGGGAUUUACUCCUGGAGCCCAAUGAGGUUGCAAAAAAUCGGUGGCUGCGACUGUUUAUUAAAAACAAAGCACUCUGCAAACACGAAAGUGGACGUAUAGGGUGUGACGCCUGCCCGGUGCUGGAAGAUUAAAUGAUGGGGUGCAAGCUCUUGAUUGAAGUCCCAGUAAACGGCGGCCGUAACUAUAACGGUCCUAAGGUAGCGAAAUUCCUUGUCGGGUAAGUUCCGACCUGCACGAAUGGCGUAACGAUGGCCACACUGUCUCCUCCUGAGACUCAGCGAAGUUGAAAUGUUUGUGAUGAUGCAAUCUCCCCGCGGAAAGACGGAAAGACCCCAUGAACCUUUACUGUAGCUUUGUAUUGGACUUUGAACAGAUCUGUGUAGGAUAGGUGGGAGGCUUUGAAGUAGGGUCGCUAGAUCUUAUGGAGCCAACGUUGAAAUACCACCCUGGUGUGUUUGAGGUUCUAACCUAGGUCCAUUAUCUGGAUCGGGGACAGUGCAUGGUAGGCAGUUUGACUGGGGCGGUCUCCUCCCAAAGCGUAACGGAGGAGUUCGAAGGUACGCUAGUUACGGUCGGACAUCGUGACGAUAGUGCAAUGGCAUAAGCGUGCUUAACUGCGAGACUGACAAGUCGAGCAGAAGCGAAAGCAGGACAUAGUGAUCCGGUGGUUCUGUAUGGAAGGGCCAUCGCUCAACGGAUAAAAGGUACUCUGGGGAUAACAGGCUGAUACCGCCCAAGAGUUCAUAUCGACGGCGGUGUUUGGCACCUCGAUGUCGGCUCAUCUCAUCCUGGGGCUGUAGCCGGUCCCAAGGGUAUGGCUGUUCGCCAUUUAAAGAGGUACGUGAGCUGGGUUUAAAACGUCGUGAGACAGUUUGGUCCCUAUCUUCCGUGGGCGCUGCAGAUUUGAGGAAGCCUGCUCCUAGUACGAGAGGACCGGAGUGGACACACCUCUGGUGUAUCGGUUGUCACGCCAGUGGCAUUGCCGAGUAGCUAAGUGUGGAAGAGAUAACCGCUGAAAGCAUCUAAGCGGGAAACUCGUUUCAAGAUGAGAUCUGCCGGGCCUUGAGCCCCCUAAAGAGUCGUUCAAGACCAGGACGUUGAUAGGUCAGGUGUGGAAGCGCAGUAAUGCGUUAAGCUAACUGAUACUAAUUGCUCGUGCGGCUUGACCCU
rnacentral:rRNA from 1 species